AGUGGCGGACGGGUGAGGAAUACAUCGGAAUCUACCUUUUCGUGUUGGAAAACGUACGGAAACUUACGCUAAUACCGCAUACGACCUUCUGAUGAAAUGAUGGGACCUUCAGGCCUUGCGCGGAUAGAUGAGCCGAUGUCGGAUUAGCUAGUUGGCGGGGUAAAGGCCCACCAAGGCGACCAUCCGUACCUGGUCUGAGAGGAUGAUCAGCCACACUGGAACUGAUACACGGUCCAGACUCCUACGGGAGGCAGCAGUGGGGAAUAUUGGACAAUGUCCGCAAGCCUGAUCCAGCCAUACCGCGUGGGUGAAGAAGGCCUUCAGGUUGUAAAGCCCUUUUGUUGGGAAAGAAAAGCAAUCAGCUAAUACCCGGUUGUUCUGACGGUACCCAAAGAAUAAUCACCGGCUAACUUCGUGCCAUCAGCCGCGGUAAUACGAAGGGUGCAAGCGUUACUCGGAAUUACUGGGCGUAAAGCGUGCGUAGGUGGUUGUUUAAGUCUGUUGUGAAAGACCUGGGCU
rnacentral:rRNA from 1 species